GACGAACGCUGGCGGCGUGCUUAACACAUGCAAGUCGAGCGGUAAGGCCCUUUCGGGGGUACACGAGCGGCGAACGGGUAAGUAACACGUGGGUGACCUGCCCUCCAGCUCUGGGAUAAGCCUGGGAAACCGGGUCUAAUACUGGAUAUGACUCCAUGACGCAUGUUGUGGGGUGGAAAGCCUUGUGCGGCUGAGGAUGGGCCCGCGGCCUAUCAGCUUGUUGGUGGGGUGAUGGCCACCAAGGCGACGACGGGUAGCCGGCCUGAGAGGGCGACCGGCCACACUGGGACUGAGACACGGCCCAGACUCCUACGGGAGGCAGCAGUGGGGAAUCUUGCGCAAUGGGCGAAAGCCUGACGCAGCGACGCCGCGU
rnacentral:rRNA from 1 species